UGCAUUAGAAGUACUCAUUUGAACAUUUUUUUAGACAUUAUUUUUGAAUUUUUAGAACAUUAUUCAAUUGUUUUAAAAUUAUAAUAUAUGCUGCAUAUUCUGUGCCUCUUUGCCUAAAUGCCUUGAGACACUUAGCUCUUUACUUAGAAGACAGAAAUGAUAUUAAUGACAAAGUUCAGACAAUGAAUGCAGACUGUUGUUUGAUGGAACUGAUUUACAGUUUUUUCUUCUCCUUUCUUUCUUUUUUUGCUUUUGUCUGUGUGUUUCAGGGAAAUCUUAACCGGAACCACAUGUUUUGUGCAUGCAUACCAGAAGCCACUCUCUCCUUUUUGGUGGGUGCUUUGAAUUUCUCAGACCUGGUGAGGGGAAAAGAUGAUGCUGAUUCCCUUAUGUAAUGCUACUUUGUGCCUGUCAGAGAAAUAUUACCCUAGAGCCAAACGAAACUGCAAGUUAAGCUCAAACUGAAUUAAGAUGGAGAUACACAGUGUUACAGAGAUGUAUGGGCAGCAAUUCAUUGCAGGAUCAAAUCCCUUACUGUGUGCUAACACUAACGAUGCAAUAAGAACUACAAAAAUGCUUUUGAGAAGAGAAGAAGAAAAAGUCAAUAUAUUUGAACAACUGAAAUUGUCAAUGAUUGGAAAUAUUGUCUUAUAUGUGGAAGAGUACCUAGGAAAUAGAAAAGGGAUCGGUCGAAGAUGGUAAGAUAGGAGUCGCUCGUGGUUCUCAGGUUGCGUUUGACACAAGGGGUGUCUCCGUAGAGCAAGGAACAUAAUGGUAGAAGUGACAUUUCAUCUCCCCUGCAAACUUCUGUCCUCUAGAAGCAAGUCAUCACUUCCAGCUUUCACUCAAGUGCAGAGAUUACAGAAGGACAUGAAUACCAGGAAGCAGGCUCAUAGAGAUCAUCCAAGAGACUGCCUAACAAAUCAGUCAUGACUGAGACACGAUUUACCAGCUGCAUCUAUAGAAACAUGCUAAAAACAACGCUGCUUCUUUAUAAAUGAUACAAUUUUUGAAGAAAUAUUUUCUCUGAUGUCUAUUAUAAUAAUUUCCCGAACCUCCCUCAUUUGUAUACAUUUAGUCAAAAUUAUAGCAUUUUAACGAUUGUCUGGAGCACUGUGAUUCAUAACGUGGACUGGAAAUGAGAGGACUUGUUUAUUUUUAUCCCAGAUGCCUCAUGUACUUACUGUUGAUUCUCACUUAGAAAGUCGCUACAUAGCUGUCUCUUUCUCAUCUGUAAAAAAGGCGGCAACAAUUUUAGCUUACAAAAUAGUUGGACUAUGAAUAACAUUUUUUAAAGGACACUUUACAGAGUGUUUUGAAAUCAUCCAAGUGGUCUUAAUACCAGUCAGUUUUAAACGACAACAGAAACAACAAAAGCCACUCUUGCACUUGAAGUUCCAAGAUAUAUGUUAAGAUGUGUAAGAAAAAUGUACCAGCAAAAAGUUCUUGAUUCUCCUUACUUGACUUUCCUGUAAUUAAAAGAUGACUUUGGGGAUUCCUGUUAUUACCUGUAUUUCAUUUAUAAAUAAGAAGUAUAAUAAUAGAACAAAUGAUCAACUCAAUAAUAUUAACUCAAAGCGAGAACUAAUUUUGAUGCCAGUUACUUCAUACCCUGCCAUUCCAUUUUCUUGUCUUAAAUAUGAGCUUCGUGGACAUUUAAUGACAGCUAUCUCAACUUGGAAAUGCAAAGCCAAUAUAUCUUGAAAUAAAAACAGACUCUUCAAAUCA
ensembl:lncRNA